UACAGAGGUCUCGAGCGUUGUUCGGAUUCAUUGGGCGUAAAGGGCGCGUAGGCGGCGGGGUAAGUCUGGUGUGAAAUCUCGGAGCUCAACUCCGAAAUUGCACUGGAUACUGCUCUGCUAGAGGGCUGGAGAGGAGAUCGGAAUUCACGGUGUAGCAGUGAAAUGCGUAGAUAUCUGGAGGAACACCGGUGGCGAAGGCGGCAUCCUGGACCGACACUGACGCUGAGGAGCGAAAGCCAGGGGAGCAAACGGG
rnacentral:rRNA from 1 species